AGCACUCCUACGGGAGGCAGCAGUGGGGAAUAUUGCACAAUGGGCGCAAGCCUGAUGCAGCCAUGCCGCGUGUAUGAAGAAGGCCUUCGGGUUGUAAAGUACUUUCAGCAGUGAGGAAGGUGGGUAUGUUAAUAGCAUAUUCAUUUGACGUUAGCUGCAGAAGAAGCACCGGCUAACUCCGUGCCAGCAGCCGCGGUAAUACGGAGGGUGCGAGCGUUAAUCGGAAUUACUGGGCGUAAAGCGCAUGCAGGUGGUUUGUUAAGUCAGAUGUGAAAGCCCGGGGCUCAACCUCGGAAUUGCAUUUGAAACUGGCAAACUAGAGUACUGUAGAGGGGGUAGAAUUUCAGGUGUAGCGGUGAAAAUGCGUAGAGAUCUGAAGGAAUACCGGUGGCGAAGGCGGCCCCCUGGACAGAUACUGACACUCAGAUGCGAAAGCGUGGGGAGCAAACAGGAUUAGAUACCCUGGUAG
rnacentral:rRNA from 1 species